rnacentral:rRNA from 1 species
AGUGAACGCUGGCGGUAGGCCUAACACAUGCAAGUCGAACGGCAGCACAGUAAGAGCUUGCUCUUACGGGUGGCGAGUGGCGGGCGGGUGAGGAAUACAUCGGAAUCUACUUUUUCGUGGGGGAUAACGUAGGGAAACUUACGCUAAUACCGCAUACGACCUACGGGUGAAAGCAGGGGAUCUUCGGACCUUGCGCGAUUGAAUGAGCCGAUGUCGGAUUAGCUAGUUGGCGGGGUAAAGGCCCACCAAGGCGACGAUCCGUAGCUGGUCUGAGAGGACGAUCAGCCACACUGGAACUGAGACACGGUCCAGACUCCUACGGGAGGCAGCAGUGGGGAAUAUUGGACAAUGGGCGCAAGCCUGAUCCAGCCAUACCGCGUGGGUGAAGAAGGCCUUCGGGUUGUAAAGCCCUUUUGUUGGGAAAGAAAAGCAGCAGGUUAAUACCCCGCUGUUCUGACGGUACCCAAAGAAUAAGCACCGGCUAACUUCGUG